AUUAACCCUUACCUAAGAAGUGAAACUUGAGUAGAGGGCAAAUAUAUUUAGCCUGUCUUAUAAAAAUUCAUCUGCAGAAGAAGAAGAAACCACAGACCAAGUCAGUGCUCGGGUCCAACACAGGUUUUCAGAUAAACCACGUCUGUAGCACAGCUCAGUUCAGGUUAGGGAAGUGUUUAAGACACUCAGCGCUGGUUAUUAGUCAGACAGCGUCCAAAAAUAUGACACGACGCGUGAUGAGCGAGAACGAGGGAGACGUGACUUCCGCGUGAGCAGAGUCGAGAGCAGGAGCGUUAAGUCCGUGUGCAGAGGAAGCUGCGAUGCAAGAGGCUGAAGACUCGGGCGUGGGGGAGGGGAGGAUGAGCGAGAAUCUGACUGCUGACCUGAACCACAGGAGUUACACAUCCCUGCUUUCUGUGGACGGGAAGUGGAACCGGCACAGGCCAAAGAACACGGACGAGAGACCGAGAGAGUGAAAGUGAGAUUCUUUUAUCGUUGACCCACUUUGGUCUCUGGGGACUUAAAUAAUUAAAACUUCAAUAAAUAAUUAAAAACCCCGA